rnacentral:lncRNA from 1 species
ACGACGCCCCCCAUUUCGGAGCUCCUCCUCGCGAUUCCAAUCCCCGCACGUCUCCUCCGCCUCCGCCUCGCGCAGGGUUAGGGUUUGCUCUGCUCCCCAUCUUGUCGCUUUUGUUUUUUUCCUGUGAGAUUUGGUAGGGAAGGCCUGAUCUGUGUCUUCCGGUGCCUGAUUCAGCGUCUCUUGAUCGAUCUGCGCGGUUUUCUUGUGAUUUUUUUGGGGUGUUGAUUCGUUGGUGCGGGGAAUUCCACGGGCCGUGGAAUCGCGAAGGGGACGGGCGCUUCGAGGUUCGUGUGUUGAUUCGGUCUUCGGUUGGGGGUUUCUUCUGUUCAGGUUGAGUCUUUUGGGUGGGGAAAUGAAAACGCGUUCUUGUUUUUUUCUUCUUCUUAUUUUUUUUAAAAAUUGUAUGAAGGUUGUUUCUCUUGUCCAAACGAUUAGGCUUUACCUGUCUUUUUUUUGUCUGAUUUUUUAGAGUUCGUAGCGCUGCUAAAUGUUACUAGUGAUUCAAGUGUUUUAUUCCAUGGAAAUCGUGCGUAUCUAGUUGUAAGCGGUGGAUUAGUUAAAUUACUUGGCAGAUUUGGUGCAUAUUGUCCUCGAUUUGCAUCACCAUGGUUUUUUUUUACAAAGAUUGGAAUUGAUAUACCCUGAUUUGUUUAGGAAUGUCGUUUUGAUUUGUAUUACACAACGUAUUUUGUGAUAGUGGCUUCCGCGAUGCUCUCCCUAAAAAUUAGGAUCUCGUUUCAUCAAGUACAACAUCUGCAUGACUUAUAUUUGCUGAAGUGACAAAUCGUGUGGUUAUUUACAUCGAUUGUUUAAUGUGCAGCUUAUAGUAGUCAUGGAACACAAGGAGGCGGGCUGCCAGCAACCCGAGGGCCCAAUCCUAUGCAUCAACAACUGUGGCUUCUUUGGCAGUGCGGCCACCAUGAACAUGUGCUCCAAGUGCCAUAAGGAGAUGAUAAUGAAGCAGGAGCAGGCCCAGCUAGCUGCCUCCUCCAUCGAUAGCAUUGUUAAUGGUGGUGACGGUGUGAAAGGCCCUGCCAUAGCUGCAACUGCCGAGGUGGUGUUUGCUCAAGUUGAGGAGAAGGCAAUUUUUGUGCAGCCUCCAGUUGUAGCUGAAACCAGCGAGGCUGCUGCUGUAAUCCCCAAGGCCAAGGAAGGCCCGAACCGGUGCGCAACCUGUAGGAAGCGGGUUGGCCUGACGGGAUUCAACUGCCGAUGCGGUAACAUGUACUGUGCGGUGCACCGCUAUUCCGACAAACAUGACUGCCACUUUGACUAUCGGACUGCAGCUAGGGAUGCGAUUGCCAAGGCCAAUCCUGUGGUGAAGGCGGAGAAGCUCGACAAGAUCUGAGGGGUAAUGGGGAGCGGAAUUGGUUAUGAUCUGCAAGAUUCAGUCAUGCAUCUUUGCUGCUUUAUCAUUGAACUUCCCAUUCUUGUUUGCUGCCACAUCCCCGAGUUGUUCAACACUGAUGCACAUGCAUCCUGGCAGCUGCAAGAAUUCAUCCCCAGUCGAGUCCAAAAUGGUUUGCGUGUUGGCUAUGUUGUGUAAGCUUAUUCAGUUAUUCAUGGUGGUUUGGUUGGUAUUGUGGCAUUCCCAUUUAGGUAGCUCUGUAAUGUACUACUGUCUCGUGCGUGUUACAUCCCAAUCAGUAAUAGUAAUCAGCAAUGGUCUGCCAUAUUUCCUCGCAAUUUUCUGGUUCUCUUCUUUUCAUGUGCGCUUGUGAAUUUCAUUCAGAGCAAUGGGGGCAAUUGCUCAGAUGUUUGAUAUUAUCUGAAGUUUUGAUGUGUGGAGCUAUUGACCAAUCAACUGUUCUUGCUUCGUGCUCUCUGAAGUGGAAGCAAUCAGCUUCCGCUGCUUGCAUGAAGUGGGAUUGUUGUGGAUGAACACUGCAUUUUAAAAUCAUGUAGCAGCCGAGAGAGCUGUGGAUGGAGCUUUAUUGUUGGGUAUGCUGAUUCUUUAUUACAACACAGUCUAUGCAAACGCAAUUACUUGGUGCAAACACAGUCAAUUCAUCAUGAUCUAUUUUGGAAAAUCCUGUAAACAAAGGAACUUGCUUGCAUGGUUUCCACAAUUCUUAUCCUUCUCUCUUUCUAGUCUGUGCAAGUGGGGACAUGCAGCUCUCCUUUUUACAUGUGAUUGGUACGAAGCCUAAUUUGUUUUUGUAUGAUUGUCACCUGCAAAGAAUUGGAACAAGUCUAAACAACUUGUUUUUGUAUGAUUCACUUGCAAAGAAGAUAAUUCGUACGAAAAAAAUAUUCUUCUGCAUGGGGGGAAUAUUUUUGCUCCUCAAUUUGUGGGUGGGUCUCUUCAGACAUCAUGGGAACAUUGAGCAACUCUUGUGCCGGGUGUUGAGCUGCGAUGGAUUAAAGAACGCAAGCAAUGAUAUAGGUUCUGUUUGGAUCCACUAGCUAUAUUUGAGCUGGUUAAAUUUAACUGCUAUGGAUGCAAAUAUGAUCUAACUAGUUUAAUUUUUUGUAGUUGGUUGAACCCAGCUAAACCAGUAAAAGAUGAAAUUGCCUCUCAACCUUCCCCGAGAAAAGUUUUUAAAGUGGGAGGGAGGGAUACUAUAGACGAAUACCUCUUCUAUAUAGACGAAUACCUCUUCUAGCUAGUGGAUCCAAACACCUUUAACUAAAGUAGCUAAAAGAAAGUUUCUAGAGUUUAGUUAGGUGGAUCCUAACAGGGCUAGGACCAUAGAAGCCUGAUCGCCUUGAGAUUCCUUGUUUGUUUAUGGGAGAAUGGAUAGGAUCUCAGCUUUGUCGUCCUCCCAUCCCAGUAGCUGGAGAUGUAUUUUAUGGCACUAGCUGUUGCUACCUGCUCUGAUCAGUUUACUAUAAAACUGCCAUUAUAUUGUAGAGUAUGUAACAGCCUGAAGAAAACAUUUGCAGAGCUCAGCAGCAACCAUGGGGAUUACCUAGUUGCAAAUAAGACACCCAAUGGCACUUCUUUUUUACCCAGCCAGAACUGAGCAACCCGGAUUCAGGGCAAAGAGCAGAUCACUUCAGGACGAAACAUUUAGCAACACCUUCAGUUACCGAGAUACAUAAGGUGAACAAACUCAUCAGCGGUGUCUUCAGCUGCGAAAAAUUCACAUAAUCUCAAGUAACUUUCUCACUCAAGAAAGGACCGAAGAAGCGCUGUGUGGAUUGCUCGGUAUUGCAGUAAGUGAAUGUAUAUGAGAGGGAUACACAUGAAACAGCUCAUUUCCUCUUUAAUUGUCUGUUCUAAACUACAGUGUAUGAGAAGAAAGAGGCCGUGCAUUAUUCUGUAUUUUUUCUACUCCAAGUGUAAAUUUGGGGACUCAGCCCCCAAUGUUGAAGUAAACCGUAUAGAAUUCGUCCCUCAAGCUGUACAGUGGCUCCAGGAUGAAGUUCCUCCUCACUCCCUUUGCGAUAAAGCUGAUUGGAUGGUACUGCCUCAGUGGGGCAGUCUGCACAAAGCUCGCCGCCUGCUCGAGUAUCCCACCAAUGCUCUGAAGAGAGCUCUUGCAGCUGACCUGAAUCUUAGUCUCUGCAGAGUAAUCCACGCCUGUCACCAAGAAGCACCCUGGUUUGGUCCCGAGCUCGAGGGAAACUGAAUUAGGAUUUCCAUCGAGCCCGGGUAUUAUGUUGAAGAGGGAAUCUGAACCCUUCUGCGCGGAUAGGGUGAGGUUGUUGGUGAUCACAGUUCCUGGCAAGUCAAAUGGCUCGAUCAGCACGGAAGCUCCCUUCAUGGUUGUGCUGUAUGUGUCAUGCAGCUCCGUUGAGUCCUGAGGGUGUGCCCUGAAUGUUGCGUGGAUGGCGAUGUCGGUGCCGUCAACUUCAGGUCGCUCUUGCAUUGUUAGGGAGCCAUUUGCGCUUGAGAGGACAAAUGUUUUUCCAUUGGAUACUUGUGUGAAGGUUGCCAGCUGUGAGUUGUACACUGAAGGAACAGUGGUGAUCCAAUCUGAAAUUGUACUGCUAUUGCCAACUUUUGCAUCCCAGUCACCAGUGGAUAGGCCAGCAAGAACAAAUGGCCCAAAUAGGAUGGCUUGAAGGGAUGCAUACUCCGGCCUGUCAUCUGAACAGAUAGCUAGCAAUUAAUAUUGGAUCAAGUUCCUCAAAAAUAUUUGGAUCAAGAUUCUCUCUGUACAAAAAUCUGAAUAUUAUCACACAUCGUAGCAAAAUCCGUUAUUUCUACUAGCGCCCCUAUGUUUUUGUAGUAUAAGUGUACAACCACUGGUUAUCAUGGUGGUAUAUCAGUGUGCGAGCCAAGUAAAGUCAGCCAAUUUGUUCUUCAAUCUUAAAUUAGUCAACAGUGGAAGUAUCAUGAGUUACCUUUAAUUGCUUCAGUUCUUAACCUGAUGGGAAAGCGUAGUGAUAAGUGAUCCUCUGAGUUCCAUUGUUUGGUGACUGAGAGGAAAGAUCCUGCCCAUAAAAUAACAUAAGGUAAUGAACUGGGCUUCAAAAAUCGAUGAUAAUUUGAAUAUUGAACAGAAUGGAAUGAUUUUACCUGGAGAUAAUGACCCCAAAUCUUUGCCAUUUAGAUUUGCUCCUGCACCAUCAGCAAAUGUCCAUGAUGGAAUUCUAACAUUCAAUUUGGCAGACUGACUUGUCGUCUGAACAAAUAGCAAACAAAUGAGCUGAGUGAAGAUGUUUUUUAUCUGAAUUCAACGUAUAAAGAAUUGAAAAUAAUUACCUCUGCAGAAAUGGAGAGUGAAAUUUGAAGAUACAGGUCAGAAGAACUGAGGGUUUUGAUUUGCUGAGUAACAGUGAGCCCAGCUGCUUUCCAGUUGAAAGUGCUUGGUAUGUACUGAAUGAUGUUGAGUGCAGGUGUAUCUUCUUUCUCCUCAAAGUAAAUAGAAUCGCCAAGUUUUGAAAAGGAUUCUAUACCUGCACAUGGAAAUCAUUAUAUUUUGAAAUAAACAACUUGCUCGAGAAUAAAUGCGACCCCAACGUUCACAGCUUGAGGCAAUAAAGCAGAAAGGUUAAAAAUGAAGGGGCUAGACACUGCCUUUAGCUUAUGGAAUCAAAAUUGGAUAGAAACAGUUGGUUGAAAUCAAGCAGAAUAUUCACAUCAAGGCAAUAAAUAGAUGUUGCAAUUUUUGUAUUACCUGUCCCAUAACAACACCAGAAAGAAUCGUACUUUGUUCCCCAACCAUGAUAACUCACAGCCUUAGAGUGUCCAGGGGCCUGGGGUAGCAUGUAAAUCAUCACACCAGGAUCUGUCCCCCUUUGAAUGCUUAAAACACCAUUUAUCAGUGCUCUUUCAUAGUAAUCUGCAUAUGAUAUUUCCUUUGUCCAUCGGAAUAGGUUGCGAGAUAUCUGGAUAUGACACAGGUUUACAUAUGACACAUUUCUAAACAAGAAAACAAUUUUUUAGUAUGGUUUCACAACCUUAAGCAUGUUGUAAGUGGUGCAAGAUUCCUCAUUCUCAGUACUCAGAGUCUCAGCUAAAUGUUUUGGGUCAGUCCUGAAAAACAAUUAAGAGAAUCAGUUCCUUGCCAAAUAUAACUUUCGAUAUACUAUGGAAGUAUUGAUGCCAUUAAUCAAGCAUCUACAAGCUAUAUUACCAGAAUUCACCAGCAGAUGUGCCACCAGUCGCGUAGCUAUGAGAUGAAUUUAUUGUAUCCAUAAAGAAUGUGGCAAUUUGCUGUUUCAAAAAUGAGGCUUAUGGUCAACUUCACUCAAAUGGUGGAGAACAAAUGAUAAAAAGAAGACAGAAGAUGGUACUACUUCAGACACAGAGACGCAGAUACUCAUAGGCAAAAGGCUAAAAUGGAUGUAAAGGAAAGAAACAUAUAAAUCCAAAGAGCUGUGCUAAACACGCAUAAUGUCAGCAUAUUUCAAAAAAUUGAAAACAGUUUAUCUUAAUCCAUUCGGAAUUUUAGUAAUAACAGCAAGAGUCAUACAUAUCUUAAUUUUUAUUAACCCAUUUUUCCUCUUCUGAACAGUAGUCAGUGUCUUUAUGUAAACUGAUAACAGCAUGCACUUUAUGUCCGCAUCCCCUAACAGAUUCCUCACUGUCUAUGAAAAUGGAAUACUUCAACUCUGUAGUAAUAAAUUUCGCAGUGAACUUUACCUUGUAAAGAGGAUCUCCGGUAACUUCAUACCUCAUCUGUGCACCAAUGACAACUGGAAUGUGUGUAUUGGAAUGGAAGCCUGAAAUGCUGUCAGCCUGAAAUGAAACAAAUACACAAACAACGCUAUCACUAAACGAAAAAUCCCUCGAGAGGAACAGUAAUUCUAGUCCAUCGAUUGAGUCCUGUACUAGGAACCCAAGUUCAAUUUCCAUGAAAGUGUACACUUUACAUGGUAAUACCAGUUCAGUAGUGGCAUAAUUAAAAUCUGUUCGAUAUAUAGACAUGUAGUGACCACUGGAUGAUAAGCAAAUUGAACUGAAGUUAGUAAUCACAAUUCUUAACAUAGUUAAAACUGAAACUGGUUAAGUUCUAUUUCAGUCAUUUAUUGUAAUGUAAACAUAAUCCUAGCUAUCACCAAAUAGCUGAAGAUUCACAACUAGCAAACCAAAUCAGUGUUUCAGCACACCUGAACUGCAAGCAGCCCAAGAAAGCAUGGCUUAUCGAAGAGAUGGGCCAGUGUCAAAUGCUUCAGAUCAUUCUGCCCAAUUAAGAGAAAGUCAGCAUAUCAGCUAGAUAUAACUGUAUUAAUCGAUGCUACACUUGUAACAAACGGCAAAUCACCGUUAUUGUGUAGAGCUGAUAGAGCACAUCAUUCAUCCCACCAGUUUCCUCAUUGAGAGACUCCCAGUGCCUCUCAAUGCUGUAUUUCUGUAUGACAUUCUUCACCCGAUCACUGAAAUAAUUAGCCAUCUUUACCACCAUGUCAAGAGCCUUGGAAUUCCCAGCCACCGUGUACUGAUCAAGAAGGCCUUGCAUAAUCUGUAAACCAAAAAUUAGACCCACUCAAAUUGGUGAUGAUCAUUCAUUCAUUGCACAAUCUGUAAACCAAAAAUUACACCCACUCAAAUUGGUGGUGAUCAUUCAUUCAUUCACAUAUUUAUCAUGAAGUAGAAACUGAAAACCCCCAUGAACCUUGUGGAUUGUGUAGUAAGGGGCCCAGACAGGCCUGAUGGCCUCAACCCAAUCGAAGAAUUCCGACGGGAAGGCCGACAGGUACCCUGUGCCCAUCUUCUUCUGACAAUCAUAGAGCGCGUCGACGACAGACGACAUUUUCACAUUAAGAGUAUCAUUGUGUGUGCUAGCCCACAUCUUUGCAGUAGCACUCAGGUAAUGCCCUGAAAAGAACAACGGCAGGACGCUGAAAUUCAGCCUAGCUGCGAAAUUGUAGUGGGUAAAUGCUACAGAAUCGAAAUCAAACUGAGAUGCGGUGGCGCACCAACAAAGUGACCCCGGAGCUGGACGUUAGGGCCCUCCCACCCGCCAUAGGGCGUUCCCGGCGCCGUCAGGCCGGCUUGCUUGCGGAAGCUCCAGACGAGGCGGUCGACGUCCAGGAGGAGCAGGUACUCCAGAUUGGUCUGCUGUGCUUGCCAGUACGGGCUGCCCGGCUCAAGCCGCACGUCGUGCAGGGAGGCCUCGGAGAGGAACGCCCCGGCCGCAACCCCGGGCCGCGGCGCGCCGGCGGUGGCGCCCCGGAGCUUGCGGUAGAGCAUGAGCCAGUCGAACGCCUCCUCGCGCCGCAGAGCCCGCCGUGGCAUGAGCGACAUCCAGGCGGACUCGUCGGUGGGGGUGAGGUGCUGCUCGUGGCCAUGCUCAUGGGUGUGGCGACCGUGGUGGCUGCGCUCGGGCACCGGCGCCCGCGGCGCGGACCGCAGCUGCGUCGCCGCGCGCUCCGUGUGCGACGUCAGCCCCGGGAACGCGUUGGUGCACGACUUACCCUCCGCGCCGUGCCAGCCGGCUGCGGCGGCUAAGAUCACCACGGCCCCCAGCGCCGCCGCCGCCGGCAUGCCCGGCCCUCUCGCCAUAACCAACCCCCCUUUCUUGGCAAGAACCACUCGUUACCCUGUCCUCAGUUGACCGACACACACCGCAUAAGCGAAAGCCUCCAAAAACCCAAACCUGUAACCUGUGAGAAGGGCGAGGAGGAUAAGAUUAAGCAUCACGAAAUGGUGACAGCGCAUCAAACUACCAGUGAUUCAACCAAGAAUUGCGCGGAAAGCAAUUCAUACGAGGGGAACAAAGAUCGGAGGGAGGAUUGAAGAAGACGACCUCGACUCACUUCACUGGAGUGAGACUGUGACAGUGAUGUUUACUGUUUCCGUCUCGAGAGGAAGGAGGAGAAAUUGCUCCUUUUUCGCCGGGGACGGAUCAACGGAAUAGGGGUGGGCGACAAAUGCGCAUCGGGAGAGCGACGGUUUAUAUCAGAGGAUUCUUGGACCCCAAGAGCCGCAAGGCGACGCCAUCAUCACCCAUCCAUCAUCUACCGGUUCGUCCCAAUCCACCAUGGCCGUCGCCCGCCGCUUGCUUGCACGCCACCGCCGGCCCGCCGCACGGCAGCAAGUGGCGCAUCGGCAUCACGUCGGAGAGGUAAAAGCUUCUCUGCCCUUUUCAGACCCAAGGGCAGAGACGGCAACUUGGCAGCGGAGCUCGCAACCGAAACCGGAGAGCGGAUGCGUCAGGGUAAAACCUACCCUGUUGGUGGAUGGAUCACCGGAUUGAGCUGAACUUGCAACUGAACACUCUCGGAGAUUCCCUGAUCUUGUCAUGCUUCUGCCGUUUGCAGGACACGGCAUUGCAUGGCAUCUAACCGAUCCUGUGUUCCGGCUCAGCCUCAUCUGUUCGAUGUGCAGAGGCCGAUGCAGCAGACCCCAGAGGCGUGCUGCGUGCAUAUCCAUCGAUUGAUAGAUCCAUUUCCUUCUGACAAUAGAAUCAUCGUGCGCAUAGACCACACCUGCAUGCCAAGACAAUGUCACAUGGAUGAAUAGGAUGCGAAGUGAUCGAUUGUUGUGUCAGUUUCAGAAGGCCGAGUGGCAGCAUGUUGUCGGUCAUGUUCUAUACUACCUCUGAUGGGCCUUGAGGCGAGAGCAAUAUCUCCGCCCUCCCAAGAACAGAGGAUGCCCAAGCUCUUCUGAAUACCACCAAACAAGCUCCCUUAGGAUCCAUGCUGAAAUCGCACAAGAUAUACCAAACAAAAUGUGUUCAAGCUCUUCUUAAAACAUAAAAUGAAAAUCAAAAGAUUUUUGGGCGAGAAUGGGAACAACGGUAAUCAUCCUUGAAGUCGACCCAAACUUUUGACUAGUUUCCAACCCCAAUCAUUGCCGAUCCAGGCCCAAAUCUAGCCCACCUCAGGCACCCGCAAUGGUUAAAGAGGGUUUGCUCUCUGUUACUUGUCUACCAGCCCUGUUUGGAUAUCAUAUGCUAAAUUUUAGUACAGUGUUAAAUUUUAGCACCCUCAAAUAAAAGGUUAAAGUUUAGCACCUUGGGGUGUUUGGAAAGGAGGCUAAACUUUAACACCUGGGUUGACAAAAGACUCAUUUAUCCCCACUUUCUUCCUUUCUUUCUCCUCUCUCUCCUCCUCUUCUCUCGCUCUUCUCCCCACCUUCCCCAGCCGCACCGGCCUCCGUGCCCCUAGCUGCCCUCCCUCCCCCGCUGGGAGGUGGCGGCCGCGCGGCCAAGCUCCUCUCCCUCCCUGCGCCAGCAAAAUCACCUCCGGGCGUCGCUCCUCACCCUCCUCCCCCGGGUCAGAGCCACCGCCGCGCGGCAAGGACUCCUCCUCCACCGGUCCCGCCCCGCUCCCGACGGCAGAGAGGUGCUCCCUCGUCGCGCAGCGCCGACUCCCUCGUCGCGCGCCUUGCUGACGGGGAGGACGGGCCGGCCGUGGCCCUGCACCGAGAGAGGGGGGUGCGGAGGCGGCAUGGCCGGCGGAGGCAGCGGGGGCGGCGGAGGCGGCGUGGCCGGGUGGAGGAGGCGUCGCCGGCAAAUGCGGUGGGGCCGGGCGGAGGAGGCGUGGCCGGCGGAGGUAGCGAGGCCGGCGGAGGAGGCUUGGCCGGCCGAAGGAGGAGAGAGAGGGGGGUGGGGGGCAACCAGGGAAAUUUUAGAUAGGGGACCACUUUUAGCACCUAUUUGAUGUGCUAAAAAAAGUGGGGUGCUAAACUUUAGAACACCACUUUUAGCACACCUGUUUGGGAGCUCUAGUGCUAAAAGGGUGCUAAAAGUGAGGUGCUAAAGUUUAGCACCCCUCUUCCAAACAGGGCCAUAAUAUUUAUAGAUCCAUCACUUAGCGGAUUAUCUGUAGUAUUUAUUGCUAAGUUUCGUGGGUCGUAUAGUAUUUUUUUAGUCCUCCUACUCUUCUCUCUCUCCUCCUUCCCCAUCCCCCACACCGACAACUGCUUUUCCGGCUGACCUUGUGAUGAGAACAUUACCUGCUCGGAUACAACCAUAUUAGCAACUUUUGAUUCACAGGUAAAAUAAUUCUUUGAAAAUUCAUUUGAUGAAUUGAUGCUACACCAUGAUGUGUGUUUAUUGUCAUUUGAUACGUACGUGGAUCAAAACGAGUGUUAAACACACAUCGAAGGCAUGGAGGACCAAAGAAGUUGAUUAGAUUCCAAGUCCAAGUAUUCCCAACGUCCUCCACUAGGCCACCACGUCACUUUUCGCCCAAGAAAAGAAAGAGAUCAAAUUCAACACGUUUUGGGGCUGAAUUCAGACUACAAGCACUGCGCCAAAUUGCAACGGCCGACACGACCUCAUCCAAGCUCCGUUUUGGGCGUUCAAGUACUCCUUGGAAUUCUUAUGAAGUCUAUUUUCAUAUGGAUCUAGACUCAUGUUUAUAUAUUUUCUGAGGCGGUCGCAAUGAUCAAAUUACUACCGAGAGAUUUUUCUGUCAAAGGUGCUGCGUUGCCUUAUUUUGGUCCAAUGGGCCUUGUAUCAAUUCGGGUCCAAUAAGGACGUGUCCUAGGGUUGGAGCACGACACCAGGACCCCUAUGGUCGUCCUCCUAGGUAUAAAUAAGGUUUAGAGCCACCACAAACAGAUUGAGUUUUGUUUAGAUGUAAGUUUAGCCAUUGCUACUUCCUUGUAGACGCGUGUGUCGACUAGACCAUCCGUUCUACUUGAUUCAGAAUCCCAAAUUUGUAAUUUUAGAUUGGUUUUCAUCUCCAUAUUUGCAAUUGAGUUGCUUGUUCUACUUAUUCUUACUUAUUCCUCGAUUGCUUGCAGGAAUUACCCUAGUGGUUUGAUUGAUCGUGCUCCACGAGAUCGCGGCGACCAUUGAAGAUGGUGUAUCGGUUGCUAAGACGCAGCAUCCUUGGAUGGUUGUAGUCGGGGCUGUGAACGUCACCGCGCGCUCGAGCCGGCGGAGUGGCGGAGCCACGAUAGCUCGACGGCCCCAGCUGCGCCCCAUCCACCUCCUGCACGGCGGCAUGACCAUGCUCCGUCACAUCCUGCACCGACCACCACGCAGCCACGCUCCUCCCUGCUUGCGCCACCUCGUGCUGGAGCUACCGUCGCCACACCGGGCGCGCUCCGCCCGCCCCCGCACCGCUGCUGCGGUCUUCUGCCCCUCUGCCGAGCUCCACGCUCGUAGCGUGCCUUGCUUGGUCUCGCUCCACACCGACACCGGGCCCAGCAUAUCCGGCCACCACAUACGCGUACCCAUUGCUAGGCCCCUGACACCCGCACCGCUGUGCUCUUCCUGCUCCCUAGGCCCCACACAUCAGUCUCCGAGCAUCUGCUGCCGAAUCAGAUCUGAGAGCGAGCAGAGGGGAUGCGAGCGGCCGACCGGGGCGGCGGGACAGCGAGCGCAACGAGCUGUUGCAGGCGAGUGGUGAUGUAGAUGGGAUGCAAGGUAAAUCCACCAAUUUGCACAGGUUAGGGUCUGUUUGGGAAGGGGGUGUUAAAGUUUAACACCCCACUUUUAACACUUUUUAACACUUUUUUAUCCAAACACUUGUGUUAAAAGUGAGGUGUUAAAGUUUAACAGCCCAUUUUUCAUAAACACAUGGAUGAGGUGUUAAAACUUGCUAAAGGUGUUAAAAGUGGUCCCCCUCUCUACUUUUUCCCAGGUUACCCCUUCUCUCGCCUCCCUCUCUCUCCGCCGGCCAUAAAUGAGGGGGCAAUGGAGUCAUUUCUCACCAAAGGUGUUAAAGUUUAACACAUCAUCCAAACACCCCAAUGUGUUAAACUUUAGCACUCUAUUUGAGAGUGUUAAAACUUUAACACUUGUUGAAUUUUAACAUAGGGUAUCCAAACAGGCCCUUAAUCUCUGCACCUACCAGAUGCAAAUUUGCCAAAUGUAAUCUCUGCACCUCACGAGCUUGAUUGGGCUGGCUCGAGCCUGGCUCGUGAGCCUAGCUAAGGUCCUGUUUGGCAACACACUCCUAAACUUUAGUACCUGUCACAUCGAAUGUUUGAUACUAAUUAGGAGUAUUAAAUAUAGUCUAAUUAUAAAACUAAUUGCAUAGAUAGAGUCUAAUUCGCGAGACGAAUCUAUUAAGCCUAAUUAGUCCAUGAUUUGAGAAUGUGGUGCUACAGUAACUAUUUGCUAAUGAUGGAUUAAUUAGGCUUAAUAGAUUCAUCUCGUGAAUUAGUAUAGAAUUUCUGUAGUUAGUUUUAUAAUUAGCUCAUAUUUAGUUCUCCUAAUUAGCGUCCGAACAUCCGAUAUGACACUCCUAGUUUAGGAACACCCCGUGAGGCAGACCAGGCUGCCAAACGCCCCCAAAGCGAAGCCACGGCCCACGGCCCCGUCGGCCGUCCGCCACCGUUUUUUUUCCCUCUUCUUCUUCGGUGCAACUCCUACCAGACCGUGCAGCCCCACGCGAUCCAGCUACCACCCGUGGCCGCGCUCGCCGCCUUCCUCGCGCCGCCGCGGAUCCACAAAGGUAUUCUUGGCGUGGUGCUUUCGCUCGUGUCGCGCGCCCCUGGUCCUGUCGCGGCACCCGGCGUGGAUCUUGGCCUGGAUUGUCCCGAUACUCCGCAGCAAAAGCAAGGGUUCCGAGGUGGUUUCGCGGUUUCCUGGCGUCUCCUCUUGCUCGCCGGUUCGUCCCAAGGUGCGGCCUUCUGAAUUCCUCGUACUUCCAAAAUCGAUGUGAUAUGUUCUGUGCGCGCUGGGAGGAGUGCAUCUGAGCACCUGCAUUGCAUCUUCAGGACGCUUGUUAGUGAGCUUAAUUGGAUUUGUUCUAGAUCUACCGCAAUUAUAUGCGUUCAUCCGUGGAAAAAAAUGUUGUUUUCGUUUCCCUGGAUGUCUAGCCUGUGGCUGCUAUACUUGUAUGCGAUGAAAUGAUGCUACAUUAUCCUGAAUUGCUGGCAGGGCACGUGUUAAUUUUUUGUUGCAGGCAUAUCUUGGUGCCCGUGAUUUAAGUGGUACAAUUAAGGCCAGAAGAAUCAGCUUUAUUCAACCAGUGUUUGGAUAUGGUAUCAGCUAACCUUGGGUUGGCACAUUAUGUACUGGAACUCUUCUUCAUCGCACCAAGUUAGGAACACCAUUUUUCUCAAAAGGAUGGGGAGGUACCAAACUUGAUUUGCUAGAGAGCAUGGUGAAGCAGCUGUUCCCUGAAGCACAUUGCCAAAACUGGCCACCAACUGCUGUGCAGCCAAUGUGGAAAACAAUUUGGGAGACAAACAGUUCUUGUCUGCGAGAGGGUGUUUUCAGGACUAAAUGUGAUGAGAGACUAGUCGAUGCAUUGCCCCCUGAAAAUCACAAUGCAGGAGUUGCUUUUCUUACUCCUAAAAACAUUACACCAGAGAAGAUGUCAUGCAUGGUCCAUCUUGCAGGUACAUGAUUUUGUGGUUUCAUUAUAUUUGUUCCCUAAUGCACUGCAUAGAUUAGGAAAACCAUUUUCUGAUAUGAAUGUUUAGCUUGUAUGCAUUUUAAUCAGUUUCUGUUGUCUGGUAGAACGGAUUAUGAACGUAUUAGUCUGCUGGCUUUCUAGCGCUGCCAAGUUUAACAUUCCUCUUUUGACAGCUUCCCUAUCUUUUUUUGAAGAUAAAAAACUUUCCUCACUGCCAAGUGCUAAAAUUGAAUAAGGACUAGUCUCCUUUUACUGUUAGUUUCAUAUUGAUUGAUGAAUAUUGUCACAAAAUUGUUCAUAGUAAAAAAAAACUGCUCCACUCUUUUUCCUAUAAAAAUAUGUCUCCGCUCUCAUCUAAUGAAUCUAAAUUUUCUGUAAUAAUAUAGGCACUGGUGAUCACACAUUUGAACGCAGGCUUUGGCUCGGUGGGCCUCUUUUGAAGAACAAUAUUGCAAAUAUGGUUCUUGAGAGGUGAGAGUUACUUGCAUUCUUUGUUAAAAUAUUUUCUCCACAAUUCACCAAGAUCUGAUCCAUUGAACCACAGCCCCUAUUAUGGACAGUGACGUCCUAGCAUGCAGGGUGGUGCAAAGCUUCAGUGUGUGAGUGGCUUGUUACUUUUAGGGAAAGCCACAAUUGAUGAAGCUCGCAGUCUCCUGUACUCGCUGCAGGCUGAGGCUGGUUACGGCAAGAUGGGCAUAUGUGGGCUCAGCAUUGGUAUGUUAACACUGGUUUUGCUCAUGAAUGAAUAUAGCUAGUCUUAAAAAUAAUGUAGCAGCCUAUUUGUCAAACCCAUCUGAUUCUUAUAAUUUUCUGGUUAUAUUUACAAGGUUCCUUUGACAUUCUUCUCAAAAAAUAAUUCUUUGCUGAUGACACAGGUGGUGUCCAUGCCGUGCGUGAUGGGGGGAUCCCUUCAUCCUACACCAAUUGCUACACCGCCAUUUCUCACUUCGCACUCUGCCGUGGUACCUUUCUGUGAACGGGUCUACAAAUAUGCCACAGCUUGAGAUGUGUUGAGAGAAGAUGCAGCAGCAUUAACUCAAGAUGUAACAUCUUUGACAGAAGAUGCAGCACAGAAAACUGGGGUCACUAUUGAGGAAGUCAUAGAUAGGUUGCGGUCAGUGUUGUCUUUGACUGAGGUCACUCGAUUUCCAGUCCCAAAGAACCCGCAGACUGUCAUCUUUGUUGGUGCAACGGUUAGUGUUUUUUUUUAACCUUUUAACAUCAAUUUAUAAUCUCUGAAAACAUGAUCUCCCCCUCCUCCCCCCCCCCCCCCCCCCCCCCCCCCCCCCCCCCCGAGCCUUUUACUUUGUUUCACGAUUCUGAUAGGUUAACAACGAUCAGAGUAUAUCACUAGUAGACUGGCUAUUUUACUACUAUUACAGUAGGACUUCAGAGUUAAGUCAAAUUGUAUCUUUCACCUGCACUGUUUACAACAAGUUCUUUUUGAGACCACACUGUUUGCAGCAAGUUACCGUAGCACUCCAGCAAUGUUCAGAAAUUGAAACUUACAUUGAUAGCAGAUAGUUUACUCAAGCACUCUUAUCUUCUCAUGUUCAGCAAUGUCUCCUUAUUUCAGACAGAGAUUGCUUACUCGAGUAUUCGUUUUCAGCUGGAGCUUUCUUCUAAUCUGAAGCUAUGUUCCCUUUACAGGAUGAUGGUUAUAUUCCCAUAAUCCCAUACAUUCAGUCAUGAAGCUCCAGAAGGCAUGGCUGGGCUCAGAAGUCCGGUGGGUAACGGGAGGCCAUGUUUCGUCCUUUUUCCUCCACAAUGACGCAUUCCGCAAAGCCAUCGUCGUCGCCCUUGACAGAUUGUAACGUCUAACAAGCUCGAGCCAACAAAAGACCCAUCUUUUUUUUUUUUCAACUCGACCUAACCAUUGAUCAGGUCUAUUAUCACCCUAACAAAAUUCUUGCAAUAUUAUCACCCUAUCAAAAUUCUUGCAAAAUCAAACAACACACACCCUAACUUGUACGAGAACCGGUCAAUUUCUUAGGUGAUUUAACACACUUGGUUAUACUGCAUGCCCACUUAAGAUCAAACUUAGGUCUUACAUCAUGUAUUUCUUAUUAAUACGUUUGUUUUGUUGACUAAUAGGCGAUGCGUUUGUUGAAUCUGCGCAUUUGCAGUGGCUUCGUUAAUCUCAAGAUACGUUUGCUCUUAUGCAUUUACAGGAUGUCAAGGCAUCCUCAGGGCUCGUAGAGUGGAGGAAAAAAAACCGCUUAAGAAAAGUUUCCAUGUUUCACAUGAAAAAUUUAUGAGCUUUAGGUGCAGAUGCCAAAUAGCAAGAAAUGAAAAAUAAAAGAAUUAGAUGAAACAUAUCGUAACCUAGAAACAAUGUCGUAACUCGAUAUCUCGAGCUUAUCGAUCUUUCUCUAAAUAAACUAGCUCUAACACCACUAGUCGAAUCCAGAUCAUACCAGUAUCUUACACAAGUAACUUCAUUUUCUAUGCACCUUUGCAUGGACGCAUGCUCCCACGCGGUGAUGCCGCCAUUACCUAACGUUUAAACUCCCUUUCAAAAGGGCAAAAAAUCGUGGCCUACGCAUGGGGCGGGCAGAGAACCGUGCUGCAACCGGCUGCCUACCAUCACCAUCUGCUUCUCUUUCCUCUCUCUUUCACAAGGCAAUACGUGCUGAGGCAUUAUCUCUCCGCUUUUGCGUAGGAACCCUUUUGAUCUUGAGAAAUUGCCUAAUUGUUCACAUUCCAUUCCAAGACGACUUCAAGGUGGUAAAGUGGCAGCAUGAUCUUAAAGCUCAUAACUGAGACGAUAAAUUUUUUAAGAUAAUCUACACAAUAUAAGAUUAUACGGUACAAAUACUACCAAAUACUAGCUCUUUAGAAGGUUUUUAUUACUUCAUGUAUCAAGUAUCAUGUAUCAAAGGUAGAUUGCUGACCGCGAAUACCACGCGGUAAGGUUUUUAUUACUUCGAUGUUCUCUUGAAGGAACUAACUUAUUUAUGGUUGAUGUGCAGGCUCGCUCUACAAUAACGUUACAAUCCAGUGCCAUUUGCGUUUUACACGCAUCAUAAUGUAUCUUUUGAUAUGCAAGAACUUAAAGGAUAAUUGCAAUAAACAUUCUAUUAAGUGAAAAACACCAAUUUUUUUAAAAGAAAAUGAAUAACUAUCAUGUAAUAUAUAUUUGAGGGGAAAAAAUUGUAGUUAUAACAUUCUAAAAGUUGAUGCACUUAUUACUGUUGUGUUUGCAUAUGUUAUCACAGCUAUGAUAGCUAGAUUCAAAACGAUACUCCCUCCAUCCUAAAUUGUAGAUCAUUGCUAUGCACUUAGGUAUGGUACAUAUUUAGAUAUACAACAAAAAUUAUGUACUUAAAAAAACUAAAAUGACCUACAAGAAAGAAAACGGGAGACUAACAUAAGAGCAUCUCCAGCAGACCCCCAAUAAAUAUUUUCCAAUGCCUAGUUAACAAGGAUAUCCUAAAAUCAUUUUCAUCGUUAUUGGGAGAAUUGUUUUUGCUGUCUCCCAAUAAUCUCAUCCCAAUCCAACUACCGUAUUGGAAGAGUCACAACUCCGCUUUUAUUUAGGGAAAGUUAGGGUGAAUUAUUGGAUUGUCCCAAUAAUUAUUCGGAAAAAGGAAAAGUAAAGGGAGACUGCUGGAGCACUAGUUUUUUACUAACACUUCCGGUACGAAAAAGACCGGUAUUGCAUUCUAGCAGCCAUGGUGUACCGACAUGCUAUAAAAAAGUAUUUUUGGCAUAUUGUUACACGGUAGAAGCUUGUGAACCCAUCAAGUCAUGUAGGACAGUUAUUCAAAUUUCUACCGAUGCCAAAUUUUGCCUUAUAAAAAGAUAGAAACCGGCUUUUUAAAAAAAUAUAGAAACCGAUUACUCCAAUAUUCAAAGUUCACACCAUUUAUAGGAGAAGAAAAAGGACGCUACGCGGCUCCUUCUUCCCCAUCAAGAAAGAAAAAGAUCUCCCCCUCCAAAAUUAUAUAAACCCGCAACCAGCAGGGACCUCACUGAAAAUCCACGGCCGCAUCCAUCCCAUCCGUCCAUCAGCUCACGCCACCGCGAUCGGACGGCGCCUCCCCCACCUCAGCCAGACCACUCCACGCCACCAACCGCAAAUAAUUCGAAAUGGUAGGGGCAAGGAGGUAACUUCCCGUCGCCUCCGCCUUUUUUAUCUGGCUCCCCCACCUUCCUUCCCCUGGCCCAACGACGCCCCCAUUUCGGAGCUCCUCGCGAUUCCAAUCCCCGCACGCCUCCUCCGCCUCCGCGGCCGGCUCGCGCAGGGUUAGGGUUUGCUCUGCUCCCCAUCUCGCCCUGUGCUGUUUUUCUUUCCUGUGAGAUUUGGUAGGGAAGGCUUGAUCUGUUUCUUCCGGGGCCUGAUUCGGCGUCCCUUGAUCGUUCUGCGCGUUUUUCUUGUGAUUUUUUGGGGUGUCGAUUCGUUGGUGCGGGGGAUUCCACGGGCCGUGGAAUCGCGAAGGGAACGGGCGCUUCUUGAUUCGGUCUUCGAUUGGUGGUUUCUUCUGUUCAGGUGGAAGUCCUUUUGGGUGGGGAAAUGAAAACGCGUUCUUGUUUUUUUUUCUUAUUAUUUUUUUAAAUAAAAAUUGUAUGAAGGUUGUUUCACUUGGCCAAAUGAUUAGGCUUUACCUGUCUUUUUUUGUCUGAUUUUUUAAAGUUCGUAGCGCUGCUAAAUGUUACUAGUGAUUCAAGUAAUUUUUUCCGUGGAAAUCGUGCGUAUUUAGUUGCAAGCUGUGGAUUAGUUAAAUUACUUGGCAGAUUUGGUUUAUACUGUCCUCGAUUUACAUCACCAUGGUUUUUUUACAGAGAUUUGAAUUGAUAUACCCUAAUUCGUUUAGGAAUACCGUUUUGAUUUGUAUUACACAGCGUGUUUUGUGAUAGUGACUUCCGCGAUGCUCUCCCUAAAUAUUAGGAUCUUGUUUUGUGAUAUUUGCUGAAGUGACAAAUCGUGUGGUUAUUUACAUCGAUUGUUUAAUGUGCAGCUUAUAGUAGUCAUGGAACACAAGGAGGCGGGCUGCCAGCAACCCGAGGGCCCAAUCCUAUGCAUCAACAACUGUGGCUUCUUUGGCAGUGCGGCCACCAUGAACAUGUGCUCCAAGUGCCACAAGGAGAUGAUAAUGAAGCAGGAGCAGGCCCAGCUAGCUGCCUCCUCCAUCGAUAGCAUUGUUAACGGUGGUGAUGGUGGGAAAGGGCCUGUCAUAGCUGCAACCGCCGCGGUGGCGGUUGCUCAAGUUGAGGAGAAGGCAAUUGUUGUGCAGCCUCCACUUGUAGCUGAAACCAGUGAGGCUGCUGCUGUAAUCCCCAAGGCCAAGGAAGGCCCGAACCGGUGCGCAACCUGUAGGAAGCGGGUUGGCCUGACGGGAUUCAACUGCCGAUGCGGUAACAUGUACUGUGCGGUGCACCGUUACUCCGACAAACAUGAAUGCCACUUUGACUAUCGGACUGCAGCUAGGGAUGCGAUUGCCAAGGCCAAUCCUGUGGUGAAGGCGGAGAAGCUCGACAAGAUCUGAGAGGGGCAAUGGGGAGGGGGAUGGGUUGUGAUCUGCAAGAUUCAAUCAUGCAUCUUUGCUGCUUUAUCAUUGAACUUCCCAUUCUUGUUUGCUGCCACAUCCCUGAGUUGUUCAACACUGAGAU